GUACACCGGGAAAGACGUGCUGGUCCUUCAAGCCGACAUUUAUCUGUGCCUUAUCUCUUCAUGAUCUGGGUAAUACAGGUUCCUGAUGGAGAAGCCAGCAGUCAUCAGCUCAAGUUGUCUCGAGACGUCAGCGUACCAGCAUCUGCUCUACAGCUCCCCACUACUCAAGACUUCCGGUCACGGAUCACCGGUGCACAACAACCUCACCACUGCUCUCCAAUAAAUGAUGCAGUAUGACGUCGAAGCUAAACUGACCGAUAUCCACCACUUUUCUGGGGUGUUAGUGGCUCCUCCACCGCCUUGUGAGCCAAAGUCAACCUCACCUGCCCGCGGUGCACCCUGCUGACUCACGGACGAGGCUCUGACGCCCCUUGUGAGGCGGAGAUGAUCCUGAUCCUCUCAGCCCCCCAUGGGCCCAUUAUGGACUGCGCCUGCAUCUCCGUCGCAGAUGCGGUACAUAAUUAUUGUAGUCAUUACAUAAUCGACAUAGGUUAAGAGGAUUAUAAGAGGAUUAAAAGUUUUUUUAAUAAUAAUAAUAAAUGUAAAU